GACGAACGCUGGCGGCGUGCUUAACACAUGCAAGUCGAACGGAAAGGCCCUGCUUGCAGGGUACUCGAGUGGCGAACGGGUGAGUAACGCGUGGGUGAUCUGCCCUGCACUUCGGGAUAAGCCUGGGAAACUGGGUCUAAUACCGGAUAGGAGCCAUUUUUAGUGUGAUGGUUGGAAAGUUUUUUCGGUGUAGGAUGAGCUCGCGGCCUAUCAGCUUGUUGGUGGGGUAAUGGCCUACCAAGGCGGCGACGGGUAGCCGGCCUGAGAGGGUGGACGGCCACAUUGGGACUGAGAUACGGCCCAGACUCCUACGGGAGGCAGCAGUGGGGAAUAUUGCACAAUGGGCGCAAGCCUGAUGCAGCGACGCCGCGUGGGGGAUGACGGCCUUCGGGUUGUAAACUCCUUUCGCUAGGGACGAAGCUUUUUGUGACGGUACCUAGAGAAGAAGCACCGGCUAACUACGUG
rnacentral:rRNA from 1 species